GACGAACGCUGGCGGCGUGCUUAACACAUGCAAGUCGAACGGAAAGGCCCUGCUUUUGUGGGGUGCUCGAGUGGCGAACGGGUGAGUAACACGUGAGUAACCUGCCCUUGACUGUGGGAUAACUUCAGGAAACUGGGGCUAAUACCGGAUAGGAGCUCCUGCUGCAUGGUGGGGGUUGGAAAGUUUCGGCGGUUGGGGAUGGACUCGCGGCUUAUCAGCUUGUUGGUGGGGUAGUGGCUUACCAAGGCUUUGACGGGUAGCCGGCCUGAGAGGGUGACCGGCCACAUUGGUACUGAGAUACGGCCCAGACUCCUACGGGAGGCAGCAGUGGGAAAUAUUGCACAAUGGGCGGAAGCCUGAUGCAGCAACGCCGCGUGCGGGAUGACGGCCUUCGGGUUGUAAACCGCUUUCGCCUGUGACGAAGCGUGAGUGACGGUAAUGGGUAAAGAAGCACCGGCUAACUACGUG
rnacentral:rRNA from 1 species